AAAAAUUUUUCCUAACUUCACCCCUGAUCUGCACCGAAAUCCGUAAAUGUGUUCGCGUCUCAAUCUUGAUGAAUUAAGCUAGUAUGAUAAGAACAAAAUCUAAAGAGUUCUGGUUCAUAUCAAUCACCUUCAAUGUCUGCUUGAGAUAAACAAAAACACACCUUUGAUCGCGUAUCUCUUAAAUAUAAAAAAUAAUCGCACUAAAUCACUUCAAGUUUUCUUGCUUGAUGAAAUAUCAUCUUCAAUUAUACUGCAAUAUUUACUACACAAAAUCCUUUAAAUAAUUAAACAUAAUCAAAAGAGGCCAAUAAAAAUUAACAAAUCUAAGCAUCUCAAUUACUAAUCUAAGCUGCAACUUGCUGUAUCAACCAUAAUAAAAAAUAUAAAUGUCUGCAUUAGCAAAUUCACCUUUUAAUCUUUUAAAUUAAAAAACAAAAUGCCGCUGCCAAUAGUUUAUUCGUUUCUUUCUUCACUUUUGAUUCACUGCCUGGCUUAAUAUCCAAUGAUUAGUUUUUAGGUUUAAAAAGAAUAAAUAAUUAAAAUAUAACAAAAGUACACAAAUACAUAAUAUAUUUGACAUUCAUGAUUUACAUGAGUAGGCUAUAAAAUAUAACCGUUGAAUUGUUAAAAUAUUAAUCAUAUAAAUAAUUAUGAAAAUGUGUAAAAUUAUUUUAAAUAUUAAUCAUAUCGACCUUUCCUCGUAUAAAAAUGAUAUAAGUACAUAAAUAUUUUUGAAAUUUAGAUAAUACAAUCUAGUAAUGUACAAGAAUUUAAAUAUAUAAAAUACUUUUAAAAUGUUUAUGGCGCUAUAUAUACAUAUAGAAACAAAUAAAAUAAAAUAAAAUAAAAAUUGCAAAAUGAAAACCGAAACAAAUAAAAAGAAAAUGUAUUUGAUGUUUAACCCAGCCAGUGAAUCUAAAAAGAAGAAAGCAAAGAAGCUGCUUUCAAAUUUCUGAGGA
rnacentral:lncRNA from 1 species